UACAGAGGGCGCAAGCGUUGUUCGGAAUUAUUGGGCGUAAAGGGCGCGUAGGCGGUGCGGUAAGUCCGCAGUGAAAUCUCUGGGCUCAACUCAGAGUCUGCUGUGGAAACUGCCGUGCUAGAGUGUGGGAGAGGUGAGUGGAAUUCCCGGUGUAGCGGUGAAAUGCGUAGAUAUCAGGAGGAACACCUGUGGCGAAAGCGGCUCACUGGACCACAACUGACGCUGAGGCGCGAAAGCUAGGGGAGCAAACAGG
rnacentral:rRNA from 1 species